CCUACGGGUGGCAGCAGUGGGGAAUAUUGGACAAUGGACCGAGAGUCUGAUCCAGCAAUUCUGUGUGCACGAUGAAGUUUUUCGGAAUGUAAAGUGCUUUCAGUUGGGAAGAAAAAAAUGACGGUACCAACAGAAGAAGUGACGGCUAAAUACGUGCCAGCAGCCGCGGUAAUACGUAUGUCACGAGCGUUAUCCGGAUUUAUUGGGCGUAAAGCGCGUCUAGGUGGUUAUGUAAGUCUGAUGUGAAAAUGCAGGGCUCAACUCUGUAUUGCGUUGGAAACUGUAUAACUAGAGUACUGGAGAGGUAAGCGGAACUACAAGUGUAGAGGUGAAAUUCGUAGAUAUUUGUAGGAAUGCCGAUGGGGAAGCCAGCUUACUGGACAGAUACUGACGCUAAAGCGCGAAAGCGUGGGUAGCAAACAGGAUUAGAUACCCCAGUAGUC
rnacentral:rRNA from 1 species